rnacentral:rRNA from 1 species
UGCGUAGGCGGAUUAAUAAGUCAGUGGUGAAAUCUUUCGGCUCAACCGAGAAACUGCCAUUGAUACUGUUAAUCUUGAGUUCGGUUGAGGUAGGCGGAAUGUGUAAUGUAGCGGUGAAAUGCUUAGAUAUUACACAGAACACCAAUUGCGUAGGCAGCUUACUAGACCGACACUGACGCUGAGGCACGAAAGAGUGGGGAGCGAACAGGAUUAGAUACCCUGGUAGUCC